UCACUGUGAUGAUUGUUGAUAACCAUUCGCAGUUUCCACCAGAAGGCUCUUCCUCUGUGUUGGCAAAAUCUUCCUUGGAUGUCUGAGUGA